rnacentral:rRNA from 1 species
UACGAAGGGGGCUAGCGUUGCUCGGAAUCACUGGGCGUAAAGGGCGCGUAGGUGGCUUGAUAAGUCGGUGGUGAAAUCCCAUGGCUCAACCAUGGAACUGCCGUCGAUACUGUCAGGCUUGAGGGCGGUAGGGGAGAGUGGAACUCCUGGUGUAGCGGUGAAAUGCGUAGAUAUCAGGAGGAACGCCGGUGGCGAAAGCGACUCUCUGGGCCGUUCCUGACACUAAAGCGCGAGAGCUAGGGGAGCAAACAGG